rnacentral:rRNA from 1 species
UGGUCAGAAACUGACGCUGAGGUACGAAAGCGUGGGGAGCAAACAGGUAUUAGAUACCCUGGUAGUCCACGCCGUAAACGAUGUCAACUAGUUGUUCGUCUUAUAAACAAGGUGAGUAACGCAGCUAACGCACUAAGUUGACCGCCUGGGGAGUACGGCCGCAAGGUUAAAACUCAAAUGAAUUGACGGGGGCCCGCACAAGCGGUGGAGCAUGUGGUUUAAUUCGAUGCAACGCGAAGAACCUUACCAUCCCUUGACAUCCAGUGAAUUAUCUAGAGAUAGAUGAGUGCCUUCGGGAACACUGAGACAGGUGCUGCAUGGCUGUCGUCAGCUCGUGUUGUGAGAUGUUGGGUUAAGUCCCGCAACGAGCGCAACCCUUAUCCUUAGUUGCCAGCACGUAAUGGUGGGAACUCUGGGGAGACUGCCGGUGAUAAACCGGAGGAAGGUGGGGACGACGUCAAGUCAUCAUGGCCCUUACGGGAUGGGCUACACACGUGCUACAAUGGCGCGUACAAUGGGAAGCAAGCUAGCGAUAGUAAGCGGAUCUCAAAAAGCGCGUCGUAGUCCGGAUCGGAGUCUGCAACUCGACUCCGUGAAGUCGGAAUCGCUAGUAAUCGUGGAUCAGAAUGCCACGGUGAAUACGUUCCCGGGCCUUGUACACACCGCCCGUCACACCAUGGGAGUGGGCUGCACCAGAAGUAGAUAGCUUAACCUUCGGGAGGGCGUUUACCACGGUGUG